UGCUCCCAAUCCCAUUCCAAAUUUGUUCUUCUUUGGUUUCUGAGCCUGAGGUGGGUACCCAUAUCCGGAUUGUUGUGGAUAUCCAUAACCCGACUGUUGUGGGUAUCCAUAACCGGUCUGAGGUGGGUACCCAUAUGCUGCUUGAGGUGGGUAUCCACCAUGCACCUGCUGAGGUGGAUACCCAUAUCCCGUCGCCGCAUAUUGCUGCGGCGGGGGAGGGUGUGGCGUACCAUAGGGCAUCGAACUGGAUCCCGCCCCAGCAGGAGGAUAAG
rnacentral:lncRNA from 1 species